UGGGCGCAAGCCUGAUCCAGCCAUACCGCGUGGGUGAAGAAGGCCUUCGGGUUGUAAAGCCCUUUUGUUGGGAAAGAAAAGCAGCGGGCUAAUACCUUGCUGUUCUGACGGUACCCAAAGAAUAAGCACCGGCUAACUUCGUGCCAGCAGCCGCGGUAAUACGAAGGGUGCAAGCGUUACUCGGAAUUACUGGGCGUAAAGCGUGCGUAGGUGGUUGUUUAAGUCUGUUGUGAAAGCCCUGGGCUCAACCUGGGAACUGCAGUGGAAACUGGAUGACUAGAGUGUGGUAGAGGGUAGCGGAAUUCCCGGUGUAGCAGUGAAAUGCGUAGAGAUCGGGAGGAACAUCCAUGGCGAAGGCAGCUACCUGGACCAACACUGACACUGAGGCACGAAAGCGUGGGGAGCAAACAGGAUUAGAUACCCUGGUAGUCCACGCCCUAAACGAUGCGAACUGGAUGUUGGGUGCACUUUGGCACGCAGUAUCGAAGCUAACGCGUUAAGUUCGCCGCCUGGGGAGUACGGUCGCAAGACUGAAACUCAAAGGAAUUGACGG
rnacentral:rRNA from 1 species